GACGAACGCUGGCGGCGUGCCUAAUACAUGCAUGUAGAACGCUGAAGGAGGAGCUUGCUUCUCUGGAUGAGUUGCGAACGGGUGAGUAACGCGUAGGUAACCUGCCUGGUAGCGGGGGAUAACUAUUGGAAACGAUAGCUAAUACCGCAUAAGAGUAGAUGUUGCAUGACAUUUGCUUAAAAGGUGCAAUUGCAUCACUACCAGAUGGACCUGCGUUGUAUUAGCUAGUUGGUGGGGUAACGGCUCACCAAGGCGACGAUACAUAGCCGACCUGAGAGGGUGAUCGGCCACACUGGGACUGAGACACGGCCCAGACUCCUACGGGAGGCAGCAGUAGGGAAUCUUCGGCAAUGGACGGAAGUCUGACCGAGCAACGCCGCGUGAGUGAAGAAGGUUUUCGGAUCGUAAAGCUCUGUUGUAAGAGAAGAACGAGUGUGAGAGUGGAAAGUUCACACUGUGACGGUAUCUUACCAGAAAGGGACGGCUAACUACGUG
rnacentral:rRNA from 1 species